AAAGAUAGAGGUCGCGGUAUUUAAGAGUAAGUUUAUAGAGCUUAAGCGAGCAAUGAAAUAAACCCAAAGGAAAAACCGCCGAAACAUAUAGUCAAUAGCUUUAAGACUAUAUAGUUGGGGUUAUGUAGAAUAUACAUAACACUGUCAUAAAUUUAUUUAUGGGGAGCUAUCAU
rnacentral:ncRNA from 1 species